AGAAGCCUCCAAGCUUUUAUCAAAGCUGCUGGUGACCUACCCAUUCCUCCCAUUCAGGAGAGAAAUUAUUCAUUAUCUUGAAAUGUAAGUGAAUUUCCUCUGGGAAGAGGAAGAAGGCCCCUCUAGGUUUAUCACCCUGGAAUGUAACACACUCUGGGGUUUGGGAGGUGGAUAUUAAUAUCAUUAUGCGCUUUCUCACCUACAGAAGACUAGUCUGAACUUGUGGCAGGAACCUAGCCAGCUUGAUUGCCUGCUAAAACAAAAAUAUCAACAUUCUUAAUAGGAUUUAAAUAAGAUCCAGCAUCUCAAAACAGAAUAUUCAAAAUAUCCAUGAUACGGUCCAAAAUUACAAAGCAAACAAACAAAAAAAAAAACAACAAGAAAAUCUCAAUUCAUAUAGGGAAAAAAAAGGACAAUGCUGAGAUAACACAGAUGAUAAAAUUGUCUGAUGAAGGCUUUAAAGCAACUACUAAUAUUUGUUAGGAGUCUAUUCUCCAUUGGUCUCUUGCAUUUCUACAGGUGUUCUAGGCAAAGGCAUUAACAGCUUUUUCUCUGAACUAUCUUUUUUAGCUGUUUGUAUAGCAAACAUCCUUGGAAGAUAGAAUGUCUUCCUUUGGGACCAAGGACAGAUUUUUUUCCUUCCAGGAUGAAAAAAAAAAGAUAAUGUCUCUCUCCAGGGCAAGGCUGGGCAGGUUUGCUGGCCCUUUAUUGAAGACUGGUGUUUCCCACAGCAUUCAUAAAUCCCACUACAUAUACAGGUAUCACCAGGCCCUCACAGCAUCACUGUGUGGGAACUGAGGCUCAGAAAACUGGGUUAAAUGCUGAUACUCUGCCUCCUGCUAUUCGUGUGGGUAAUAAACUGUCCUUUGUCUCUGACCCAGGAGUCUCGUGUCUUCUGUCACUAUUCAUGAAAUUGUGGCAGCCUAACUUGUUAACUUGCAAGUAAGGUAAAAUAUCAGACCCUCCAAAGUUCUUGACUUUGUUAUAACAAUUCUCCUACAAGCAGUCACAAGCAUUUUUGAAGCCAAUAAGAAAAAAAUAGAAAGUAUCAGCAAAUAAAUAGAAGACAUAAAGAAGAAUCAAAUGGAUAUUUUAGAACAGAAAAAUACAAUAGCCAACAUUUAAAAAAAAUUCACUGGAUGGUUUCAAUAGCAAGGUAAACAUGACAGAGUCAAUGAACUUGUAAAUAGAUCAAUAAAAAUUAACCAAUCUGAACAGCAGAGAGAAAAAAGAUUUGAAAAAACAAUGAGUAGAAUCUCAGAGACCUCUCGGAUAAUGACAAAAGGUGCUGAAAAAUUUAGAAUAAUGGAAGAAAAGGUCUCAAAUUUGGCAAAAGACAAAUCUACAGAUUUAAGAAGUUCAACAAACCCCAAACAGGUUUAACACAUAAAUUUAUACCCAAACACAUCACAAUCAAAAUGCUGAAAAUGAAGACAAAGAAAAAAAUCUUGGAAGUAGCUAGAGAAAUUCAAAGUACUACCUACACACAAACAAUCUGAAUCACAGCAAAUCUCUCAGCAGGAUCCAUGCAAACCACAGAAGUGGCACAAUAAUUUUUUUUUUUUUUUGAGACGGAGUCUUGCUCUGUCGCCCAGACUGGAGUGCAGUGGUGUGAUCUAGGCUCACUGCAAGCUCUGCCUCCUGGGUUCAUGCCAUUCUCCUAUCUCAGCCUCCCAACUAGCUGGAACUACAGGCACCUGCCACCACGCUCGGCUAAUUUUUUUGUAUUUUUAUUAGAGACGGGGUUUCACCAUGUUAGCCAGGAUGGUCUCAAUCUCCUGACCUCAUGAUCCACCCACCUUGGCCUCCCAAAGUGCUGGGAUUACAGGCAUGAGCCACCGCGCCCGGCCAGAAGUGGCACAAUAAUUUUAAAGCACUGAAAGUGUCAACACAGAAUACUACAUCUAGUGAAAAUAUCCAUCAGGAAUUCAGGUGAAAUAAUGGCAUUCUCAUAUGAAGACAAACUAAAAGAAUUCAUUUCUAGCAGAGCUGUUCUAAAAUAAUUGCUAAAGAAAAUUCUUCAGACAGAGGGAAAUGAUACCAGAAGGAAACCUGAAAACAUCAGGAAUGAAGGAAGAGCACCAGAAAUGGUAAAUAUCUGUGUAAAAAUAGUAGUCUAUUCUCCUAUUCUCCUCUUAAGUUUUGUUUGUUUUUUAAAUUA
rnacentral:lncRNA from 1 species